rnacentral:rRNA from 1 species
GACGAACGCUGGCGGCGUGCUUAACACAUGCAAGUCGAACGGAAAGGCCCUGCUUGCCGGGUACUCGAGUGGCGAACGGGUGAGUAACACGUGGGUGAUCUGCCCUGCACUUCGGGAUAAGCCUGGGAAACUGGGUCUAAUACCGGAUAGGAGCCAUUUUUAGUGUGAUGGUUGGAAAGUUUUUUCGGUGUAGGAUGAGCUCGCGGCCUAUCAGCUUGUUGGUGGGGUAAUGGCCUACCAAGGCGGCGACGGGUAGCCGGCCUGAGAGGGUGGACGGCCAGAGGGGGAGGGGGAGGAGGGGAGGAAGAGGGGGGGAGGGGGGAGGGGGGAAGAAGGAGAGGGGAGAGCAAGCCGGAUGGGGCGACGGGGGGGGGGGGGUGACGGGUGGGGGGGUGGAAGCUGCGUGCGCGAGGGAGGAUGCUUUGGGGGACGGAACUAAGAUCAGAAGCACCGGCGAAAUACGGGCAAGAAGCGGCGGUAAUAAGGGGAAGAGCACACUUCUGAAA